ACCUCCUCUCAUACAGCAGCAUUCAUACAUUAAUCACAUAGCAAGAAAUAAACUUGAAUUAUUACAUUAAUCAAUAAAUUCCUAUUCAAACAAAUUCAAACUUGAUUUGCAUCCACUUAAUCAUUUUGGUAUCACACUACUUAAGUCUUAACAAUUUAACACCAUCACAGCUAAAGUAAGGUAAGCAAAUUAUGACCUCAUGACUAACAGGACAUUCAAUUUAAAUAGGAGCUUUAAAUCAAAUCCCUGAGAAAUAAAACUCAUAUGCUCAUGUAACUUCCCAGAAUAUCACGUUGCAGUUCAUAUUUGGACAUCAUCUUUUAACAGUCAUGUAAUCAAGCUAAGCUUCAAAAUCCUUACAAAAUUUAAUCAUACAUAAAAUGGGAUAAUUAAUACAUAUAUUUAAGGUUAAAAUCUAGCUUGCUAAAAGGAGAUAUAGAAAACAGAGCAAAACAAAACAAAUAAUCAAAAUCUGGAAUUCAGUCCACGUAUUCACAUGACAUUUGAGAAUAAGGUAGCAAAUGAUCCAAAGCUCCAUGUAUAUGAUUCAAUGGCCAAGAAAAUGUUCAGCAUACAUACCUGUUUACAGCAAAAUCAACCAAAAUAGAAGUAAAUUUCUAAAAUAUGAACAGAUGCAGCAGCCAAAACAGAAGAAGCAAGAAUGAUUCAAAGUGAGCUUCAGCUUCUUAACCCAGAAAUCUAAAGAACAGUACUUCACCCUUCGAAUGAAACCAAAAAAGAAGAAAUUGAUGCCUUUCUUUCUAUGAAUUGUGUCUGUUCAUCAUGAGAAUUAAACUUUUUGAAGAAAGGAUUCUGCAGCUUAUCAAUAUCUCAGCCGUUCCUCUUUUUAGGUGUCCUAAAAUCCCCCCCCCCCCCCAGAAUGAGGAAAAUGAUCCUCUUAUAGAAAGACCUUAGGGCAGCAUCACCAGAUUUUCCUCCUUCCUUAAUUCUCCUUUUUACCCCUUUUUUACUUAGUUAUUUUACCCCCUAGCCCCUUAAUUACCCAUUUUUACCCCAUGCAAGCCUCCUCUUAUCCUUUAGAAGCUUCUCUCAUAACAGAAAAUAUUCUCUAGACCUAAGAUACCCAAAAUAGCCCCUGACACCCCUGUAUUUACUCCCCAAACUGACCCAAGACUCAAACCCAGACAAUGGGUUUCUUCUGCCCAAACCAGAAAUAACCAAAAGCCCAAAAGAGACCUAAACAUUAAAAUCAAAUGAAUUAAUGAAAUUAAGCUAAUAUUAAGACCUUAAGACUAGCUGGUUCAUUAACCAAACAAAAAGUCAAAUUGAUCAAGGCAAGUUGUAAUUGACCACGAACCUAAGCAUGCUAACAAUGAUUUAACAAUUAACUAGUUUAAAAAUUGAGUACAACCUGCUUGUUAAGUGUUCUAACCUAUCAUGCAAACAAAAACUAACUGAGAAGAAGAGAAAUAAAGAAAGAAAAGAACAGAGAAGAAAAAAUAAAACAAAAACAGAAACAAACAAAUGAUUAAAGGCCAAAAAGUACCGAUUUAAUCAUCAAGACGACCAAGAAAAAGCAAAAGCGGAAGACUCGCCAGGCUCAGGAUGCUUCGAAAGGGCUUGUAGCUAACUCAAACGACUAUUUUGGUCAAGAGUAAUCUAUUUAGGCAAACUUCCAGCCAAACGAGCAAAAAAUCAACAAAAAUCCCCAAACUGCAGGAACUAGGUUAAAUUUUAGAUCCGGGAUUCAGCGAGUUCAAGGGAUUAUUUGGGGAGAUUGUUGGGGAAUUUGAGUUUAGGGGGCGUGGUGAUUAUGGGAUGUGAAGUUAAGGUCGAUUGGGGUUGCUCCAUCGGCCGGUGGAGGUUGAGGGUUCUCUAGCGGCUAGGGUUUCUAUCCGGGUUAGGGUAAGGGACUAAAUGAAGGGAUUCGAAUGGGGGAGCUCUGUUUCGGAUAUUAAUAUAUGAAAUGAGAGCCAGUUCCCAGCUGUUGGAUCACACGAGAUCAAUGUUUGGGAUUCAAUG
rnacentral:lncRNA from 1 species